GACGAACGCUGACGGCGUGCCUAAUACAUGCAAGUCGAACGCAGUGGGGACGGGUGAGUAACACGUGGGUAACCUCCCAUCAGAGGGGAUAACACUUGGAAACAGGUACUAAACCGAUACUGAUGGAUGGACCCGCGGGGCAUUAGCUAGUUGGUGAGGUAACGGCUCACCAAGGCCACGCUACAUAGCGCACCUGUGACAGUGAAAGGCAUAACUAGGAUUGAGACACGGCCCAGAAUCCUAAGCGGGGAAGGAGUAGGGAAUUUUCGGAAAGGGACGAAAGUCUGACCGAGAAACGCCGCGUGAGUGAAGAAGGGUUUCGGAGCGUAAAACUCUGUUGUUAGAUAAGCGGUAUCUAACCAGAAAGCCACGGCUAACUACGUGCCAGCAGCCGCGGUAAUAC
rnacentral:rRNA from 1 species